rnacentral:tRNA from 1 species
GCCGGCGUAGCCCAACGGCAGAGGCACCAGGCCUAGGACCUGGCCAGUCAGGGUUCGAAUCCCUGCGUCGGCA